GACGAACGCUGGCGGCGUGCUUAACACAUGCAAGUCGAACGGAAAGGCCCUGCUUUUGUGGGGUGCUCGAGUGGCGAACGGGUGAGUAACACGUGAGUAACCUGCCCCUGACUUUGGGAUAACUUCAGGAAACUGGGGCUAAUACCGGAUAGGAGCUCCUGCUGCAUGGUGGGGGGUGGAAAGUUUCGGCGGUUGGGGAUGGACUCGCGGCUUAUCAGCUUGUUGGUGGGGUAGUGGCUUACCAAGGCUUUGACGGGUAGCCGGCCUGAGAGGGUGACCGGCCACAUUGGGACUGAGAUACGGCCCAGACUCCUACGGGAGGCAGCAGUGGGGAAUAUUGCACAAUGGGCGGAAGCCUGAUGCAGCAACGCCGCGUGCGGGAUGACGGCCUUCGGGUUGUAAACCGCUUUCGCCUGUGACGAAGCGUGAGUGACGGUAAUGGGUAAAGAAGCACCGGCUAACUACGUG
rnacentral:rRNA from 1 species